rnacentral:rRNA from 1 species
AUGGGAGGGAAGAUUGGCUGUAUGAUCACUCAUGACAAGUGGGUAUUUGUUGGAAUCUCAAAAUCCGUGGAGGCAUGGAACAUACAGACAGGGAUGAAGCUAAGUCUUCAGGGACCUUCUGGGCUUGUUUGUUCCAUGACUAUCAAGGAUGAGAUGCUGUUUGCUGGCAUGGCGGACGGGCGCAUCAUGGCUUGGAAAUUUCCUGCUAAGGAGAUCAACUCGGAACUGGUGGCAAUCCUUGCUGGCCAUGACCGUCAUGUGAUUUCACUUGCUGUCUCAGCAACAAGGCUUUACUCUGGCUCACUUGACAAGACAAUCAGAGUAUGGGACCUUAAAAAUCUUCAGUGUGUCCAAACACUCUCUGAGCAUAAAGCUGCUGUUACUUCUGUGCUUUGUUGGGAUCAGAAGUUACUAUCUUGCUCUCUGGACAAGACCGUAAAGGUCUGGGCUGCUUCAGAAUCUGGAAGCCUUCAACUCAUGCAUACCCAUUCCGAGGAGCAUGGGCUACGCACCCUCUUUGGCAUGCAUCGUCCGGGAAAGACGCCGGUUCUGCUCUGCUCCCUCCACAAGAGCAGCCGCGUCCGCCUGUUGGACCUGCCAUCGUUCGAGGAGAUGGGCACGCUCUCCUCCAAAACAGAAGUGAAGACCAUCGAACUCUCCCAAGGAGGGCCAUCGAGGCUUCUCUUCACUGGAGAUGGCGCGGGCGAGCUCAAGGUGUGGAUGUGGGCGCCCCAGGGCGAGGAGUCCCCGACACCAGCGCUGCCAUAA